GAUGAGUGCCAUCGUUACGAUAUUAUUAUAUUUAUUCCUAUAAGCCACCUAAUAAGUAUGCAACCAGUUAUGCGUUCGUGCUUAGAACGGGUUACCUAGAUUUGUGACCAAAUAUAAUAGAAGGUUGGUACUACGCUUGGGGAAUUCUGGUCUUAGCUUGUGGCUGUACGGCUUCCGACGGAGGGGCAUGUCAUAUCGCCCAUCGGAGAGGAUUGUCACUUCAAUUUUCAAUCUGGUUGGAUGAACAAGUAAAUUUUUCCGUGGUCACUGUUUAAAGAAUACAAUAUUUAGUUAAAAUAUUCAUUUAUUAUAAGAUUGGUUUAUUUUGGAAGGAGCUAUUUUUUGUUUUGGGAUUUGUGCGGUGAGAGGAAGAUUUUAUUUCCAAGUUUCCUUUUGGAAAACAGUGGGUAAGUCGGCUAUUAAGUAUUCUUGUAAAAAAAAAAAACAUGGUUCUCAUUCUCAAUACAAUACUUAUAGUAAUAUUAUAAUUGUUAUUCUAUGAAUAUAAAACAUCAGGUCUUAACGAGUCAAUCUCACUAUCAAAUUCAUGUUUCUACAAGAAAAAUUCUUUCAAAUUAAAUUUCCAGUUCAAAAUAGUUUCUGAAGUAAUGACACUUUUCAUUUCCUUUUAGUAUCUACGUCUAUAAAGUAAUCCCUUAUUGCAAUAUAUACAUAUCUUCUUGGUUCAUAUGUCCUUCCAUUUCUUUACAUUUCCAUUUUUGUUCAAGGUUAAUGACACUUACUUAUAAAUGUCAAUAGCUCCUCUUUUUUCGGUAAUUUUUUCUAGAAAUUUUUAUAAGGUUUUUAUACCUUUCUUAUAUGCCCUGUUUUUUGUGUACUUAAGGAACACCAGCUAAUAGGAGAUUCUUAUGCUUUUAGCCACGGAAGAAAAUAAGAAGAUGGAAAAUUAAGUCAAUCAUACUUUAAUUUGUUUUUUGGAAUACAUAAUCAUUUUGGGGAUAUUUUGGAUGGAAUGUGGAUGUUUUGUUUGGUUUUUGUGGAAUAAAAGUUGAGUUUUCCGAUACUGGGCAGCUACCUGCUUGCCGUACCUUCCUGUUGGUGUGGAGUACCUCCCUAGGGUUGGGAACCAGAGGAUACCUUAUUUGGCUCUCCCCUCAUCAUCUUCACCGAAGGUUGGAAGAAGCAAUCCGCCUACUUUUUGUAGGGACAGGUUUUUAUAUAACUAAAUUUGCAUGUCAAUUUGUUUUAAUAAUAACUUCCAAUUUUACUAUU